CUACGGGUGGCUGCAGUGGGGAAUAUUGGACAAUGGGCGAAAGCCUGAUCCAGCAACGCCGCGUGAGUGAAGAAGGCCCUCGGGUCGUAAAGCUCUGUCAAGGGGGGCGAAUUCUUGCUAUUCGAAUAGGAUAGCAAGUUGACAGUACCCCUGAAGGAAGCACCGGCUAACUCCGUGCCAGCAGCCGCGGUAAUACGGAGGGUGCGAAGCGGUGUUCGGAAUUACUGGGCGUAAAGCGCGUGCAGGUGGUCUAUCAAGUCUGGUGUGAAAGCCCUCGGCCCAACCGAGGAACUGCGCCGGAAACUGAUAGACUGGAGUACGGGAGAAGUGGGCGGAAUUCCAGGUGUAGCGGUGAAAUGCGUAGAUAUCUGGAGGAACACCAGUAGCGAAAGCGGCUCACUUGAACGAUACUGACACUGAAACGCGAAAGCGUGGGUAGCAAACAGGAUUAGAUACCCGAGUAGUC
rnacentral:rRNA from 1 species